AACAUCGCGCACCUGCGGGAACCUGCGGAGGGAUCAUUACCGAGUGAGGGCCCUCUGGGUCCAACCUCCCACCCGUGUUUAUCGUACCUUGUUGCUUCGGCGGGCCCGCCGCAAGGCCGCCGGGGGGCGUCUGUCCCCGGGCCCGCGCCCGCCGAAGACACCUGUGAACGCUGUAUGAAGAUUGCAGUCUGAGCGAAAAGCUAAAUCGUUAAAACUUUUAGCAACGGAUCUCAGAUCGGA
rnacentral:misc_RNA from 1 species